GGUGGGACCACUCCCUGCUCUGCCCCAGGGACUCUCUGUGGGUGCUCUGCAUCCAGCUCCACUACAACACACAACACAUGGGAGGAAAACACACGUGCUCGCUGACCUCUGCUGCACACACUUCAGUAAACCGAGCCUCAUCGGCUGCUGCUUUGAAACGACUUCAACAGGCACACAUGGCCUUGACAUGGCAUUUACUGGAUUCUGAUUGGCCCAGGCAGAGGCAGUGGGCGGAAAGAAGGGUGAAAGAAAACAUGACCCUGCGGACAGAGACGGUGAGUUAGUGUGUGUGUGUGUGUGUGUGUGUGUGAGAGCACUGGUGCUUGUGUGUCUUGUCACGACUAAAGCCUGGAGUCUCGGACAGCCUGUCUCUUUAGAUCACUCGCCUCCCUCUGAUAGACGACAACAUUAUAUGCAACAACACGCUGGCACUAACUAGUGUGGCGAGAGCCGGGCCACGACACAAAAAAAGUUUCAAGUGACCGUCAGUGUUUUAGGUUUCAAAGGUGCAGAUGGAUAUAGUGGUACUGAAACAUUCCUUCAAAGAAACUUGGCAAAAGGGACCCACAGGCUCUUACUUUGAAUCAAACCAAAGUAAGCUAGUGACAUCAGACCCAGUUAGUGUCAUUAUCCUGUAGCAGAUCAUAAAAUGUAAGUGUGCUCUCGCAAAAUUGCUGUGGACUAAUGAAGUGGGGCUUCUGGAGGUCCCACUCUCAUCUCAAGAGCCUCAGGCAACCGCCUGCUUUGCCUUUCCUGUAACGAUAUCCCUGUAAAUGUGCUUUUCUUCUUACUGCUACUGAACUUUAUCUUCCCUGCAAAAAUCACAU